rnacentral:lncRNA from 1 species
AAGAAUCCUAAAAGCCAGGUUCACAAGUAUAAAUGUACAUGGGUGUACACAAGUGUCUGCAUUUAUAAUGUGUGUUUCUCAAAAAUUAUGUGCACAGUGUCAUGUGCAUAGCACGACCUUUAUAUUUUCUUCGUUUCUUUUUAAUUUACAUAUAAAGUUUGGUCAAAGUCAAGCUUUAUCAAGGUUGACUAACUUUAUAUCAAAUAAUAUCAACAUUCACAAUAUGAAAUCAAUAUUAUCAGAUGCGUCAUGAAAUGUAUUUUCAUACUAUAUAGUUUUAUUAUUAUAGAUAUUUAUAUUUUUUAUAUAAAUUUGGUCAAACUUUGUGUAGUUUGACUUUGACCAAAUUUUAUACGUGAAGUAAAAAGAAAUGAAGAGAGUAAAUAUGUACGCUAAUAUCAUUAUUUAUCGUCUCAAUUACUUAGGACCAUGAUCAACCAUACAUAGACGAAAAUAAUAUAUGAGCGGCACUGUUUCAUGCAUAAUUAAAUGGCGUCCCUAACAGCUUGCUGCAGGGUCUUGCGGUGCGGCGCCAGUGCUGACAUCUCCGGCAUGGGCGGCGGUGGCGGCGGAGGAUGGACCGGAGGCAUUGGAACUGGAGUUGGUGACGGAGACACCUGGCCACCUGGCACCGGCGGCGGAGGACUCGUUGGCUCACGGCUUCCGUCAAGAGCAACUGCGUGCAUAUGCAUGAGCAUGAACCAUCAAUCAUCACCCCAAACAUAAAUACGUACUGCAUGCUCAAUACACACAUGAUGUGCCGACGUGGGUUUACUAGCUAGUAGUAGUACAUAGUAGUCAUUGGUUACCUCUUGCCGCCGCCGAGCAUGACAGGGAACAGCAUAUCAGAGCAAGGAUCACAACGCUGCGUACCAAGGACCAAGGAGGAGGAG